rnacentral:rRNA from 1 species
GAUUGAACGCUGGCGGCUUGCCUAACACAUGCAAGUCGAACGGGUUGUAGCAAUACAACUAGUGGCGGACGGGUGAGGAAUACAUAGGAAUUUGCCUUUAGGCUGGGGGAUAGUCCGGGGAAACUCGGUUUAAUACCGCAUGAUGUCGCAAGACCAAAGCAGGGGAUCGUAAGACCUUGCGCCUUUAGAGAAGCCUAUGUCGGAUUAGCUAGUUGGUAGGGUAAUGGCCUACCAAGGCGACGAUCCGUAACUGGUCUGAGAGGACGAUCAGUCACACCGGAACUGAGACACGGUCCGGACUCCUACGGGAGGCAGCAGUGGGGAAUAUUGGACAAUGGGCGAAAGCCUGAUCCAGCAAUGCCGCGUGUGUGAAGAAGGCCUUCGGGUUGUAAAGCACUUUAGGCUGGGAAGAAAAAGCUUCACCUAAUACGUGAAGCCUUGACGGUACCAGCGGAAUAAGCACCGGCUAACUCUGUGCCAGCAGCCGCGGUAAUACAGAGGGUGCUAGCGUUAAUCGGAUUUACUGGGCGUAAAGCGUGUGUAGGCGGUUCGUUAAGUCGGAUGUGAAAGCCCUGGGCUCAACCUAGGAAUUGCAUUCGAUACUGGCGGGCUAGAGUACGGUAGAGGGCGGCGGAAUUCCGGGUGUAGCGGUGAAAUGCGUAGAUAUCCGGAGGAACACCGAUGGCGAAGGCAACCGCCU